ensembl:snRNA U6 U6 spliceosomal RNA
GCGCUUGCUUUGGCAGCACAUAUACUAAAACUGGAACGCUACGGAGAUUAGCAUGGCCUCCGCGCAAGGAUGACACGCACAUUUGUUCUCACUGUGG